rnacentral:rRNA from 1 species
UGCGCAGCCUGAUGCAGCGACGCCGCGUGAGGGAUGACGGCCUUCGGGUUGUAAACCUCUUUCAGUAGGGAAGAAGCGAAAGUGACGGUACCUGCAGAAGAAGCACCGGCUAACUACGUGCCAGCAGCCGCGGUAAUACGUAGGGUGCGAGCGUUAUCCGGAAUUAUUGGGCGUAAAGAGCUCGUAGGCGGUUUGUCGCGUCUGUCGUGAAAGUCCGGGGCUUAACCCCGGAUCUGCGGUGGGUACGGGCAGACUAGAGUGCAGUAGGGGAGACUGGAAUUCCUGGUGUAGCGGUGGAAUGCGCAGAUAUCAGGAGGAACACCGAUGGCGAAGGCAGGUCUCUGGGCUGUAACUGACGCUGAGGAGCGAAAGCAUGGGGAGCGAACAGGAUUAGAUACCCUGGUAGUCCAUGCCGUAAACGUUGGGCACUAGGUGUGGGGACCAUUCCACGGUUUCCGCGCCGCAGCUAACGCAUUAAGUGCCCCGCCUGGGGAGUACGGCCGCAAGGCUAAAACUCAAAGGAAUUGACGGCGGGCGGGGGCGGCGGGACGGGCGCGGGGCSSGGSCGGGGMGA